GACACCCUGCAGUGUUCGAGGUGCUUUCAUUAAUACGCUCUUCGCCUUUGAAUCAUAACGGGAGCCGCGAAAAGGUGGUGGCUGCUAGGCCGUAAAUCGGACAGCAAAAGCCGCUUCUAGGGCGCCCACUUAAAUAUAAAAAGGUCCUGAGCCUUUGGGCAUACGGCACAGGCGGGGUGUCA
rnacentral:other from 1 species